UCUCAACUUUUUAAACGUUAUAUUUCUAAAAGAACCAGAAGCCUGUGACUGCUCCCAAAAUAAUCUAAGUCCUAAAACUGUACCAACAGCAAGAAAACUAAAAGUUUUACUGCCCCCAAGAAGUCCAGUCUAUCCAGUGGACAUUAAUAAGGGACAAACAACAAUUUCUGAGUUCAAAACAAGGCCAAGAAGGACAAUAGACAAUAUACAACGGGAACCCACACUUCUACCCCUGAAAUACAGACAGAGGGGUCACCAUAUCUGGCAACCAGAGCUGUUAUUCCAUUUCUGGUACAGAAAGAGCAGAUAGAUUUCAUAAUUUUUGUUCAGGGGGAUUUAUUGAUUACUACGGACCAGUGAUUAAUGUCUAUUUUUAGUCUUUACAUUACUCAACAGCAGUUUUAUGGCAUCUGUUUUAUUCUUACACUGUUAUUUUAAAAUGGGCAUAUGUUGGUUAUGGGUAGGGGUCAGUAGAUAGCUUAUCUUGUAUUUUAUAGUGGGUCAUAUCAUGAGUAGUCAUAUCCUGACAUAAUGGAAAGAAUGACACUUCAUUUCUAUUUUGAACUGGACACAAUAACUAUGGUCUUUAGGAUUGUUCCUUGGAGAAGGGGCAAGUAGAUUCUGUGUGUAGGGAAAAGUGUCCAUAGGCACUUAACUAGUCACAGUACUCUGCUUUAGAAGAGAUUAUUUGAUAUUUAUUUUUCACCUCUUCAGUAAUAGUUUUGGCUAAGAACAUAGCCACCCAGCAAAUCAGUAUGUUUUCAGCCUUCCUUGCAAUUAGGUAUGGCCUGGUUUCUGUGCUUUGGACAAUGGAGUGUGUCUGAAUCUAAUGUAAGCAACUGCCUGGUCAAAUCCUUAAAGGAAAAGAGACACUCAGCAUUUAUUUUUUCUGCUCUUUCCACUGAUAGACUUCAGAUACAAUGCCAGGUGCUGAAGCUGCCAUCUUAUAUGACAAGAUGGAUGUGUAGAGAAGAGAGAGGAAGCAGACAAUCCAGGAAUUGGCUCAUGCAGUACUGGAGGUCAAGACAUCCCACGAUACAUCAUUUGCAGGCUGAAGAACCAGGAAAGCCAGCGGUGCAAUUCAGAGUCCAAAAGCCCAAGGAACCAGGGCGGCCACUGAUAUAAGUUCCACAGACUGAAGUCCCAAGAAACCGGUCAGGAAAAUAUGGAUGUCUCAGCUUAGGAAGACAGGGGGAAUUGUCCUUGACUCCACCUUUGUGUUCUAUGUGGGCCCUCAAAGGAUUGGAUGAUGCUCAUGCACAUGAAUGAGGGCAGAUCCUCUUUACUCAGUACAUUGCUUCAAAAGCUAAUUUCUUCUGAAGAAACUCUCACAGAUACAUCCAGAAGUAAUGUUUUACCAGCUAUCUGGGAAUCCUUUAGCCCAAUCAAAUGAACAGAUAUAAUUAAUCAUCACACUACACCUUGAUAGCUAUACUGCCUCCUCAGCCUUCCUAUUCCUAACUCCUGGCAAGAAAUAGGCUGUUUGUUAUCUUAAAAGUUCAUGUCAUAUUUUACUCUGAUGUGAAUAACAGAAUAAUAAUUGUUCAAUGCCAAUUGUGUCUUAAGCAAUAGUUGUGUUUCAUAAAAUAUUAUAAGAGUUCCUUUUGGUAUAAUAUAGUUGAAAUACUUCUGUUUCGCUCUUUUCUCCUGGUCACUAUGUACAACAAACCGCCAUGAUACAUGAUUAGUUUUGUAACAAACCUUCACAUGUACCCCCAAACCUAAAAUAAAACUUAAUAAAAAUAAAAUAAUAAUAAUAAAGAUAUAUUUUUCAUAACUAGCAGAAACAAAAAUGUUUUAAAGUAUGUUAAGGGACCACAUACUUCAGCAUUUUAUUU
rnacentral:lncRNA from 1 species